UAGGGAAUCUUCGGCAAUGGGGGGCAACCCGUGACCGAGCAACGCCGCGUGAGUGAAGAAGGUUUUCGGAUCGUAAAGCUCUGUUGUAAGAGAAGAACGUGUGUGAGAGUGGAAAGUUCACACAGUGACGGUAACUUACCAGAAAGGGACGGCUAACUACGUGCCAA
rnacentral:rRNA from 1 species